ensembl:lncRNA
CUGCGACGUGUGGAAAUCAGACCCUAUAGCCAGUAAGGAUAUAGAGCAGGUAUGUGUUUAUUGAAAUCGUGCUAUAGAUAUAGGUCAAACUAAUACAUAAUCAAUAGUUGACAGGAAUUCGGGUACAUAUUCACUACAUUCCUGAGAGCCCAUUAGCAUACAGUCCCUCCCCCCCCUUGCACGUGCAUGGUAGGUCAUGAUGAUGAAGGCUUGUAGUCUUCCUCGCGAAGGCUCAUAGGCUUCCUUGAGAAGGCUCAUAGGCUUCCUCACUGCAAACUUCUGACCCCGAGGAGGGGGCAUCCCCCGAACCGGUUUCACCUUGCACUUCAGACAUCUAAUCACCUCCCUGCCAAAUGUUUUCGAGCUGUUCUCCAGUCCUUAUCUUUAUGGCCUUCAUUCCUGUGAAAGUGCUUGGAAUCCCUUGUUUUCUAAUACUCUCUACAUAAACUAUCCCUAUUUGCCCCUUAUGUCUACCUUGUGAAGCUGCUUUCUCUUUUCUUGCUCUGAAGCCCUUUUUUCUAUACUGUGGGGACCUGAUUUUGCCCUUCAACAGUAUUCUAAUU